rnacentral:rRNA from 1 species
GACGAAGGAUGCGAGCGUUAUCCGGAUUCAUUGGGUUUAAAGGGAGCGUAGGUGGUCUUAUAAGUCAGUGGUGAAAUCCUGUCGCUUAACGAUAGAAUUGCCAUUGAUACUGUAGGACUUGAGUACAGUUGCCGUUGGCGGAAUAUGACAUGUAGUGGUGAAAUACAUAGAUAUGUCAUAGAACACCGAUGGCGAAGGCAGCCCCCUGGGCUGACACUGACGCUCAGGCACGAAAGCGUGGGGAGCAAACAGG